UGGUGGAGUGAUUUGUCUGGUUAAUUCCGAUAACGAACGAGACCUUAACCUGCUAAAUAGUUACGCAAACGUCUAGUUUGUGGUCAACUUCUUAGAGGGACUGUGUAUGUUUAAUACACGGAAGUUUGAGGCAAUAACA
rnacentral:rRNA from 1 species